rnacentral:tRNA from 1 species
GUGGGCGUAGCUCAGUUGGUAGAGCACAGGAUUGUGGCUUCUGCGGUCGUGGGUUCGAGUCCCAUCGUCCACCCCA